GCAAAUUCUAUGAAAAACCCAAAUUGUACAAUUUCAAUGAGUGAAAGCAUGCUAUGUGAAUGUCUUCAUAAAGGUUUUAUUUAAAAAAUGAGCAAACGGUAGAAUGUUAACAUGGCCCACGUCUAUGUGGUGUCUAUAUUGGUUUCUAUUAUAUGUUUUCUAUGUGGUUGAAACAUUCCUAAUAAAAUGUGCAUAGUUUUUUAAAAAAGAAAACACAUCAGUGGACGUGAAUGCAGGAUGUCUUAUGAAUGCUCACACAGAAGCUCCCAUUCCUGAGGAAUGCAGGGAAAAGCAGAAGAUGGAGUAGGAGUUGGCAUGGCCCAGCUAGCUCAGAUGACACACGAUGGUCCCAGUGGCAUGACUUGGUUUGUGUGAUUUGUGCUUUGGGGUUUUAUUUUGGCACAUUAUAAAGGAGUAAAGCCUGUAUACAGUCAGUUUCUGUCUAUUCUAAUGAAGGGCAAGGGGAUGAAGGGAUUUACCUUGACUAACCAUCCACUUACAUUGAUUAGGAAUCUUGUGAUCCUAUCGUCACCCGUGAGAUUUCUAUGUUGUUUGUGUUUAAUGUCAGAGAAUAUCUUUUAAUCGCUCAUACAGUUUAUGCAAAUACCGUAUACGUGAUAAACGUCCCUACAACAUGAUCUUUGGAAUGAACUAAGACAAAGGAAAUUCUGAGGAAGGACCAUGGCAUGAGAGGUGGAAUUCAUCCUUCCGAGGACUGAGAUGAGGACGGAAAAUGAACCAUCGGGGGGAUUGACGGUGAAGAUGCAAAUACCUGCCCAGCAUCGACCCUAGUGCGGGUCCCAAGACCAUCCCCCUGUGCAGGCUCCACCACCGCUGUGCUAACUGGACCGCGGCAGAAGAGUAUGGGUGUGUGCCAGGUUUCUGCUGGGCCCUGCAGCUCCUCCCCCCAGCCCCAUGUGAUGUGCCCCUGGCCAUUGACACUCAGUUCGAGGGAAGGCACUGGGGUGUACACUCAAAGACCUAAACCCAGGGUGGGUGCGGUGGCUCACGUCUGCAAUCC
rnacentral:lncRNA from 1 species